rnacentral:rRNA from 1 species
UGUGAAGUUACUUAAACAACCAGGAGGUUGGCUUAGAAGCAGCCAUCCUUUAAAGAAAGCGUAAUAGCUCACUGGUCUAGUGAUUUUGCGCGGAAAAUAUAACGGGGCUAAAGUAAGUACCGAAGCUGUAGACUUAGUUUACUAAGUGGUAGGAGAGCGUUCUAUUUGCGUCGAAGGUAUACCGGUAAGGAGUGCUGGAGCGAAUAGAAGUGAGCAUGCAGGCAUGAGUAGCGAUAAUUAAUGUGAGAAUCAUUAACGCCGUAAACCCAAGGUUUCCUACGCGAUGCUCGUCAUCGUAGGGUUAGUCGGGUCCUAAGUCGAGUCCGAAAGGGGUAGACGAUGGCAAAUUGGUUAAUAUUCCAAUACCAACAUUAGUGUGCGAUGGAAGGACGCUUAGGGCUAAGGGGGCUAGCGGAUGGAAGUGCUAGUCUAAGGUCGUAGGAGGUUAUACAGGCAAAUCCGUAUAACAAUACUCCGAGAACUGAAAGGCUUUUUGAAGUCUUCGGAUGGAUAGAAGAACCCCUGAUGCCGUCGAGCCAAGAAAAGUUUCUAAGUUUAGCUAAUGUUGCCCGUACCGUAAACCGACACAGGUGGGUGGGAUGAGUAUUCUAAGGCGCGUGGAAGAACUCUCUUUAAGGAACUCUGCAAAAUAGCACCGUAUCUUCGGUAUAAGGUGUGGUUAGCUUUGUAUUAGGAUUUACUCUGAAAGCAAGGAAACUUACAACAAAGAGUCCCUCCCGACUGUUUACCAAAAACACAGCACUCUGCUAACUCGUAAGAGGAUGUAUAGGGUGUGACGCCUGCCCGGUGCUCGAAGGUUAAUUGAUGGGGUUAGCAUUAGCGAAGCUCUUGAUCGAAGCCCGAGUAAACGGCGGCCGUAACUAUAACGGUCCUAAGGUAGCGAAAUUCCUUGUCGGUUAAAUACCGACCUGCAUGAAUGGCGUAACGAGAUGGGAGCUGUCUCAAAGAGGGAUCCAGUGAAAUUGUAGUGGAGGUGAAAAUUCCUCCUACCCGCGGCAAGACGGAAAGACCCCGUGGACCUUUACUACAGCUUGACACUGCUACUUGGAUAAGAAUGUGCAGGAUAGGUGGGAGGCUUUGAGUAUAUGACGCCAGUUGUAUAUGAGCCAUUGUUGAGAUACCACUCUUUCUUAUUUGGGUAGCUAACCAGCUUGAGUUAUCCUCAAGUGGGACAAUGUCUGGUGGGUAGUUUGACUGGGGCGGUCGCCUCCCAAAUAAUAACGGAGGCUUACAAAGGUUGGCUCAGAACGGUUGGAAAUCGUUCGUAGAGUAUAAAGGUAUAAGCCAGCUUAACUGCAAGACAUACAAGUCAAGCAGAGACGAAAGUCGGUCUUAGUGAUCCGGUGGUUCUGUGUGGAAGGGCCAUCGCUCAAAGGAUAAAAGGUACCCCGGGGAUAACAGGCUGAUCUCCCCCAAGAGCUCACAUCGACGGGGAGGUUUGGCACCUCGAUGUCGGCUCAUCGCAUCCUGGGGCUGGAGCAGGUCCCAAGGGUAUGGCUGUUCGCCAUUUAAAGCGGUACGCGAGCUGGGUUCAGAACGUCGUGAGACAGUUCGGUCCCUAUCUGCCGUGGGCGUAAGAAGAUUGAAGAGAUUUGACCCUAGUACGAGAGGACCGGGUUGAACAAACCACUGGUGUAGCUGUUGUUCUGCCAAGAGCAUCGCAGCGUAGCUAAGUUUGGAAAGGAUAAACGCUGAAAGCAUCUAAGCGUGAAGCCAACUCUAAGAUGAAUCUUCUCUAAGCUCUCUAGAAGACUACUAGUUUGAUAGGCUGGGUGUGUAAUGGAUGAAAGUCCUUUAGCUGACCAGUACUAAUAGAGCGUUUGGCUUAUCUUUAAUAAAGCAU